rnacentral:rRNA from 1 species
UACAGAGACUGCAAGCGUUGUUCGGAAUCACUGGGCGUAAAGGGAGCGUAGGCGGCGUGGUAAGUCAGAUGUGAAAUCCCGGGGCUCAACCCCGGAACUGCAUCCGAUACUGCCAUGCUUGAGGGUUGGAGAGGUAGCUGGAAUUCUCGGUGUAGCAGUGAAAAUGCGUGGAUAUCGAGAGGAACACUCGUGGCGAAGGCGAGCUACU